AACAAGUAAUAUAAAACGGAGAAAGUAUCAUCUUCCCAAAACCCGACCUCUUUUAGCAAAUUCCAUUAUUUAGCGGCCAUUUGAUUAGGACGUUACAAAAAGAGAAAAGAACAUUGAUUUCACUAUUUAAAAAUUGUUUGGUUGGUGGGUUUUGGUUUUCCCUUUCGCCCAACAUUACCCCAAAUCCCUGAACUUGAUUCCCCAUCCCACCCUCUCCACCUAGAAUGAGGGGUAACGGAAACCCCCUUUGACCACCCAUCUCACUCCUAUAACCACCCCAUAACAACCACCUCUAUCAACAUUCAACAAGACCUAACCCAUAACCUUCUUGAAACCACUCACAAUCUCUCGAAACCACCACCAACCUCCGGAAACCAAUCAGACCCCCCCCCCCCAAAUACCUCCUUACAACAACCGCACCCAAAAACCCUCCAUAGCCCUAAACCAACUCUUUAUCAAAAACCUCCCACCCACUCCCAAAAAUAACUCAAAAACACCGAAACUUACGCCCACACUUCGGAGUCAACCUCGCAGCCUUAGAAGAUGAUGUCAAUGAUAAGGGUUUAGAGUGCGGCUGAUGUGACCCACAAAUGAGGAAGAGAUCUAGUCGUCUAGUCGAGCAAGGGGGGCAAUCCGGCGGGGAGGGGGCAGCUGGGUGGAACGAAGAAGAGAUUGUUACUACACUUUGACUCCUCCACCACGCAUAAAGUCAUGAAUAUAAAAAGUGUUUUAAAAUGGAAAAAUUGAUAUGAAAAAAUCUUAAUCUUCUCCUUAAAAUAAUCUCAAAUUUGAUUUAUUUCAUAAUAAUUUUAACUUUGAAGGGAAUCUUCUCAAAAUAAAUCAAAUCAUGACUUUUCUUGCCUACACUAAUUCGUUUUAGGUCUAUAAUAUAUAGAAAAUUAAUAGUUCAUAUUAUUUUGAGAAGGAAAUCCUAUAGUUGAAAUUAUUCUAAAAUAAUCAAAACUUGCAAUUAUUUUUAAAAAAUUGGUGAAAGUUGGAACUAUUCAUGUCAAUCCUUUUAUAAUCUGGCUCAAUGUGUAAAAAAAUACCAAUUACUUUUGCCCAUUCUCUCGCAAACUUAUGAUUAUUUUCUAAUAAGAAAAACUUCUGAUCAAUUCCUCCAAUAAGACACUACCAGUUAUUAACUUGUUGGAGUUUUUUUGACAUGUUGUACAGGUUACAAGUCAACUUAACCUACUGGAGGAAUUUUGAUGUAAAAUUUGUAUUAUUAAAAAAUAAUCAAAAAUUUGUAUUAUUGCAAGAAAACGGUAAAAAGUUUGUAUUAUUGUAGUUAAAAAAUUCAAUUAUUUAUAUAGUUAAUGAUUUAAUAAUGGUCAAUGUUUUGGGUGGUCAAAUAUUCAAAUUAAAUCAGAGUGUAAUUAACAACUAAAUUAUUUAGAUAAAUUUUGUAUACAAGACAGUUGGAGAAAGCGAGAUCAAGCAAUAUAAUUAUACCUGAAGGGCAGAAGUGGAGGCACCAAAGAGAAAAUCAUCAGGGAAAUAUUCCUUACUCACAUCAUAAUUAGCCCGAAGUUGAAGAAGGUGAAGACUGUCGCAUCUUCAGGAAAAAUUUUGGUACUGUCUAUUGCUGGGAAGAAGAAAGAGAAAGAUGGUGAUUAUGAUCCAAGAUAAACCAGUUGAGGUUAUAGAUGAUGAUGCCUUUAGGAGGAAAGGUAGUCAGUAGAGGCUGGAAGUGCCAGGAAGGAUUGGCAUAGGUUCUUGGUAUUUCUGACCCCAAGAAGCCAUACAUUGGUAGAAAAAAUUGGGAUGAUUUGUUUAAGAAGCAUCAAUCUGGGGAUGAUUUGAAGAAGUUAUUUGUUAUCUUUUGCUUGUCCAAGCUUCUAUGUCCAAUAGCUGAUUUAGGGUCUGUCCUGAAGUGUGCCAAGAGUUUGGAAGAUGUAUCUACGAUUUUAAGCUACGACUGGUGUGGAUAUAUCUUAAGAAGUCUUUGUGCUGCUGUUUUGGACUGUCAUCAGUCUAUAAUGAUGAAGAAGAAUGAGCUGGGACAGAAGAAAGUAACAUUCAAGCUUCGGGGAUGCAUUAGCGCUUUGGCUCUUGCUGUUAUUCACAACUUCAAAUGUCGUAAUCUGGAUUUUUCAAAUGUCAGUAAGCCAUUUAUCACUUAUUGGCAGUAAGAGAAGGAUUUGAGUAGUGUUGUGAAGCAGUUUGAGAUCAACAUGGAUUUUAUUCUGCCGGUGAAGCGUGAAAAACAGAAGCUUGAGUUUAAAGCUCCUAGUAUUAGUGCUGCUAGUAGGAAGUCUGGUUCUCCUAUAAUAAAGGUGGUUGAGGGUCCAUCACCUUCAACUAGGCAGCUUGUUAUGGAUCUUCCUCAUAGUUUGAUGACUGAUGAGGAAAUAGAUUCUCUUGAUGUUCCUAAUAUGUGAAGAACAUGCACAAGUUAAAGAGGAAUGCGCUUGCAUUCUGUCAAGUGAACUUGGAGAUUGCCCAAAAUAUUCGGGAAGAAGGCGAGAAGCUGUCUCAAGACAGUAUUUCUCUGGAUGACAGUGAAGUAUUUAAUCCAGAUUUUUUGAGUCAAAUUGACGACAUAUGCAAGCGUCAUUUGGAAGCGAAAGAUAGUGCAAACAAAGUUGAUCCUACAAUUGCACUAUUGGUGAAGCGGACUGUGGAUUUGGAGUUCGAAAGAAAUGAAGAUGUUCCUGAUUUGGAUUCUGAUGUUCAUGGAGUUGAAGAGAAAGAAGGAAGUAAGUUCCUUUCAUUAUAUUGUU